CCUACGGGGUGCAGCAGUCGAGAAUCAUUCACAAUGGGGGAAACCCUGAUGGUGCGACGCCGCGUGGGGGAAUGAAGGUCUUCGGAUUGUAAACCCCUGUCAUGUGGGAGCAAAUUAAAAAGAUAGUACCACAAGAGGAAGAGACGGCUAACUCUGUGCCAGCAGCCGCGGUAAUACAGAGGUCUCAAGCGUUGUUCGGAAUCACUGGGCGUAACGCGUGCGUAGGCUGUUUCGUAAGUCGUGUGUGAAAGGCGCGGGCUCAACCCGCGGACGGCACAUGAUACUGCGAGACUAGAGUAAUGGAGGGGGAACCGGAAUGCUCGGUGUAGCAGUGAAAUGCGUAGAUAUCGAGAGGAACACUCGUGGCGAAGGCGGGUUCCUGGACAUUAACUGACGCUGAGGCACGAAGGCCAGGGGAGCGAAAGGGAUUAGAUACCCCUGUAGUC
rnacentral:rRNA from 1 species